UCUUUUUUAACGUUUGCUUUCCACUCCUUUUAAUCUCCUUAUAACCCUCAUACCAUAUCAUUCUCUUCAUUAUCUCAUUCAUCAUCCACAAUCUCUCUCCCCCCCAAGCCCCCCUUGAAGAUAGGCGAGACUCAUGGGGGAUAGAGAGAUAAGAGACUAGUUAGAGAAACACCCACGUACCCGCACGAACAUACUCACGCAAUCAAAUUCCUUGCAAACAGAGGGAGCAUCUUUUUUUGAGGGGAAUGUUGUCUGGCUCGAGGACUCUUUCUUGAUCAGUCUGAUCAAGUGUUCUAUCUUUAGAUCUAAUAUCUUAGAUCGUGUGUUAGGGUCGUCGGACCAGGCUUCAUUCCCCCCAAUUAUUGCUUCCAUUAAAGGUUUCUUCGAGGAUUCGAUCAUGGUUUGCAUGCUUUAGGGUUGUUAGUAUGUAUGCAGAUUGGUGUAAUCAUGUUCCCCCCCCUACAAAUCUCUAAUGUUGAGAACUAAAAAGUCUCAUCAUUACUCUUUUUUCAGGUUUUCUUUUUCCCUGAUCAUGUAAUGAUGGUUUUUUUUUUUUUCUGUCAGUCUAAAAGCCUCCUGUAGUUCAUUAUUAGGUAGAUUUUCCCCAUGAUAGCUUUGUGUAUCUGAUCUGUCUGUUUGUGCUAUUUUCAGAUCUGGCUUUGAACUUUUUGAAAUAUUUCUUCUAUUCUUCCUUCUUGCUUUAUAGGGUCACACGCUGCAGCUGUGGCUCCGAUCUCAAAAUGAAUAUAUUUUACAAAGAAAAGGUCAUGUGCAGUGUGAAGAUGUACAAGCAAGAAAGUGAUGCACUUUCUGUCCCUGUUUGAAAGUCUCUCGAUUCUUUAGAGAAAGAGAUAGAAAACUUGAUCGCACUAAAGAUUUAGACGCCCUUGCAUAGUCUUGAUAUGAUUUUUAGAUUCAAAAUCUUUGCUCGGAUAUUUGAAGUUUUCCACAGUCGUGUCCUUUCUUCCUUUGAUUGUGCUUUCAGAAGAUUGUUAUUUUCUCAAAUCUAAGCCAAAUAUGUGAACAUGGGAGACUUCCUAUGCAUGGCUGCCCGCAAUUUGAAAAUGUGUUAUAUUCUACCUGGCCUUCUUUUCUCUGGGUUCAGUAGUAAACAUUAUACCUCUUCUUUUUAAAAAAAAAAAUUAAUUUAUGCUUUCCCUUGAACUGCUAUUUAUAUGCCAAGCUAGAAUAAUACUUUGAAAUGAGAACAAUUAUGUCAUUUCCUGGAGUUUGUGCCCGAGUGUUGUGUGUCAUUGUCAGUCACGUCAUGGAAAGAGGCUGUCUUGGCAAAGCUAUCUCUCAAUUAAUACAAUCCUAAUUCGUUUUAAAGACGAGCUAUUUGCUUAAAGCAGUAAGUCCCAUUUUUUUAUUGCUCACAAAUUCUAUUAUUGUAUAUUAGUUUUUACAUUGCUAGACAGGAAAUUGUAAGGAAACUAUAUUGGCGAAAUUACAAUCUCCUCAAUUAAAGCCCUAAUUCUUUCUCAAGACGAGCCACUGGUCCACGGUUAUAAGUUCCCGUACCUUAUAGCUCACAAAUUAAAUUCUCUUUUGACAGAUCAAUACUGAUCUCAAUUUGAUUUUAGAUGUCGUGUGUUAAAUAGCAGGUUUAUGAAGUCUCCCCUCAAUGUGGAUUUACAUGUCAUACUUCUCCAGCGAAAAGCUUGGUCGGUUUCUAGAGGGGCAUUAUGCGGGUAAGACCUCAUGUUUUCAGUGAGUUUUUCUCUAUUUUUUGUGAAGCUAUUGUUCAUUUUUGAGAGUCAACGUUAAUGGGAAGCGAUGACAUGGGAUGUUGAAUUUUGGUGAGCAUUUUUAUUCUAUCUUGCUUGCCUCGUUGCCCAUUAUUUGCCUUACUUUCCUCAUGUGAGCUUAAUAGAUGAGAUCCUUGCUAAAAGAUGAAAACAAAAACAGUAAAGUAAGAUUUGAAAGAUGGCAAAAAGAGUCGCACUAUACUGAGGCAAACAUAGGUAUAUAUGCCAGUUGUAUAUGGGCCUAAAUAAUCUUGUUUCUCUCCCUCGCACAAGCAUACAUGGGAGCACAAAAUGAUAGAAAAUCACAGAGCAAGAGCAUGGCAAAAGGUCACGAGGAGAAAGAGCCACAUGAAUACCAGUUUAUUCUAUGUCACUGAGUAACCUAGAAAGCAAACUCCAUUUUUUAAUGUUAUUACAGAUGUCAGCAUUUGUACCUUGAGAUCAAUCUGACCAAUCUUUAUGAUUUUUCUCCUGGAUAUGGGUGGUGCUUAAUUAGACUUCUUUUUCUGUUUUUUGUUUUCUUCUCACCAUCUUUUCCUGUUUCAGAAUUUUUCCUCUAGCCCUUUGUUGAAAAGGGGAUUGCAUGUAUAAAUGCUGUCUCGCAAAGCUCCACCUUUUGGGAAAUUGAAUCUUUUGACCUUUGCAAACAUAAAGUAUCCCACUUUCUGCUA